rnacentral:rRNA from 1 species
CCUACGGGGGGCUGCAGUAAGGAAUAUUGGACAAUGGGCGCAAGCCUGAUCCAGCCAUGCCGCGUGAAGGAUGACGGCCCUAUGGGUUGUAAACUUCUUUUAGCAGGGAAAAAACCCCUCGAUGCGUCGGGGGCUGAUGGUACCUGCAGAAUAAGGAUCGGCUAACUCCGUGCCAGCAGCCGCGGUAAUACGGAGGAUCCAAGCGUUAUCCGGAUUUAUUGGGUUUAAAGGGUGCGUAGGCGGAUAAAUAAGUCAGUGGUGAAAGCCUGCAGCUUAACUGUAGAAUUGCCAUUGAUACUGUUUAUCUUGAAUAUAGUUGAGGUGGGCGGAAUAUGACAUGUAGUGGUGAAAUACUUAGAUAUGUCAUAGAACACCGAUUGCGAAGGCAGCUCACUAAGCUAUGAUUGACGCUGAGGCACGAAAGCGUGGGGAGCAAACAGGAUUAGAUACCCCAGUAGUC